CCUACGGGAGGCAGCAGUGAGGAAUAUUGGUCAAUGGACGCAAGUCUGAACCAGCCAUGCCGCGUGCAGGAAGACGGCUCUAUGAGUUGUAAACUGCUUUUGUACGAGGGUAAACGCAGAUACGCGUAUCUGUCUGAAAGUAUCGUACGAAUAAGGAUCGGCUAACUCCGUGCCAGCAGCCGCGGUAAUACGGAGGAUUCAAGCGCUAUCCGGAUUUAUUGGGUUUAAAGGGUGCGUAGGCGGUCGGAUAAGUUAGAGGUGAAAUCCCGAGGCUCAACUUCGGAAUUGCCUCUGAUACUGUUCGGCGAGAGAGUAGUUGCGGUAGGCGGAAUGUAUGGUGUAGCGGUGAAAUGCUUAGAGAUCAUACAGAACACCGAUUGCGAAGGCAGCUUACCAAGCUACUUCUGACGUUGAGGCACGAAAGCGUGGGGAGCAAACAGGAUUAGAUACCCCAGUAGUC
rnacentral:rRNA from 1 species